GGGCCUGUAACUCAGUGGUAGAGUGUCCGCCUGAUAAGCGCAAAGUCGACUGUUCAAACCAGUCUAGGCCCA
rnacentral:tRNA from 1 species